GUAUUGAUCGCGUAUCACCGCAAAAAGAAAAUACAUUCUACACUGCUUUAAGGUUUGUGUGAAAAAACGUGGGCCCCCCCUUUCAGGGGAACUCACGCGGUUGUGCACAAAGGGGUGAGAUGGAUUGUAAGAGAGCACCGGAGCGUGCACAAAGUCAGCGACAGCCCCGGCACCUCCGUUAUACGAUAAUGAUCCUUCCGCAGGUUCACCUACGGAAA
rnacentral:misc_RNA from 1 species